GUUGGAGAGUACCCCUCAGAUAUAUAGGUUAAUUUGACUCGAUUUUGCAGGUGCUUUGAUCUGAAGGAUUGGUUUGUGAUACGUCAUUGAUUCAUCGUUGACACAAAUAUGAAAGCACACUAGAAAGAUAAACAUAGGAGAUCAUAGCUGAAGCGUGGGUUUCCAACGACGGUGGUGUGCUGCCUUUCUUCCAGUGCCGACAAGAUGGCUAGUUUGUCGCCCCGUAACCCUGGUGGUGGGCUCCCAUGACUGCCUCCUGGGUUACCUACCACUUAGUGUUGUACUUGCACAUGUAAUGCUGCGCAAGAAGGUACACAUACUCGGGCCAGGCCA